rnacentral:rRNA from 1 species
GAGUUUGAUCGUGGCUCAGAUUGAACGCUGGCGGCAUGCCUUACACAUGCAAGUCGAACGGCAGCAUGAUCUAGCUUGCUAGAUUGAUGGCGAGUGGCGAACGGGUGAGUAAUACAUCGGAACGUGCCCUGUAGUGGGGGAUAACUAGUCGAAAGAUUAGCUAAUACCGCAUACGACCUGAGGGUGAAAGUGGGGGACCGCAAGGCCUCAUGCUAUAGGAGCGGCCGAUGUCUGAUUAGCUAGUUGGUGGGGUAAAGGCCCACCAAGGCGACGAUCAGUAGCUGGUCUGAGAGGACGAUCAGCCACGCUGGGACUGAGACACGGCCCAGACUCCUACGGGAGGCAGCAGUGGGGAAUUUUGGACAAUGGGCGAAAGCCUGAUCCAGCAAUGCCGCGUGUGUGAAGAAGGCCU